ACACAUGCAAGUCGAGCGCAGCCUUCGGGGUGAGCGGCGGACGGGUGAGUAACGCGUGGGAAUAUGCCCUUUGGUACGGAAUAGUCCUGGGAAACUGGGGGUAAUACCGUAUGCGCCCUUCGGGGGAAAGAUUUAUCGCCAAAGGAUUAGCCCGCGUUGGAUUAGGUAGUUGGUGGGGUAAUGGCCUACCAAGCCGACGAUCCAUAGCUGGUUUGAGAGGAUGAUCAGCCACACUGGGACUGAGACACGGCCCAGACUCCUACGGGAGGCAGCAGUGGGGAAUCUUAGACAAUGGGGGCAACCCUGAUCUAGCCAUGCCGCGUGAGUGAUGAAGGCCCUAGGGUUGUAAAGCUCUUUCAGCUGGGAAGAUAAUGACGGUACCAGCAGAAGAAGCCCCGGCUAACUCCGUGCCAGCAGCCGCGGUAAUACGGAGGGGGCUAGCGUUGUUCGGAAUUACUGGGCGUAAAGCGCACGUAGGCGGACCGGAAAGUUGGGGGUGAAAUCCCGGGGCUCAACCCCGGAACUGCCUUCAAAACUAUCGGUCUGGAGUUCGAGAGAGGUGAGUGGAAUUCCGAGUGUAGAGGUGAAAUUCGUAGAUAUUCGGAGGAACACCAGUGGCGAAGGCGGCUCACUGGCUCGAUACUGACGCUGAG
rnacentral:rRNA from 1 species